UAACAACUAGGAGAGAAGCAUCCAGAUAAAUCUUUCUUUUUCUCCAAGCUCCCCCUCAACCCAGGCCCUGGUCUGAGAGUAUCAAAGGAAACCAAGUCUUGGAGAAUGAAGCCCCUGUCCCACCCCCUCUCUCCCCACCCUUAUUGUCUAGGUAUUCAGAGCCAGGAUAGACGGAUACAGGAGACCGGGAUGGGAAAGGAUCUACAGGGCCUCUUCUUUCCUGACUGUGGCACCAGGGACACAGGCCAGCCAUGUUGUGUGCGGCUGUGACUAGAUGGACAACACUGAUAAGAGACUUGAGCACAGCUAUAGGGGCGGUGAUCCAGAGGCCCACUUGGAAAAACCCACAGAGCCAACUCAAGGUCCCUUGGAGAAAUUGAACAGGUGGAGGGAGCAGUAGAAGAGCUCAUUUCCAGCACAAGGGAUAAACAGAGCAGGCAUGAGGCUUGAUUAAGGGUUCGAGAAGCGUGUCUGUGGAAAUCAUCCAGAAGUCCGCUGAGUGAGUAGAAGGAGGAGGUCGUGAGGGGACAGCAGGGCAUUAAGUAGAAAGAAACGAUGGCUAAGGCAAUCCUGCAUAGCCUUGGGAUGGAUAGGGCAGACAGGGUGGAAUCAGGAAGGCUGCCCAAGGCACCUUGCCCUCCUGUUUGAUCUGGAGCCACCGGCAGCACUCACGGAUGAAGUUAGGCACAAACAGGAAGAUAUUUUCACCUGGUGUCAUGGCAGCCCCCUUGCCGCCCCUGGGCCCCGUCUGGAGGUGGUGUCCGAGUCCCGGCCCUGCUGCACCCUCACCCUCCAGCCCGGUGCCUCAGGCCAAGCCAACAAACAGUGCACAGGCCUCCAUUGCCCCUCCCCUGGCUGCUAUUUAUUUUUUAAGAAGUUGUCUGUAAACCUCUCUAGAGCAAGUCAGGAUACACACACACACACACACACACACACACACACACACACAAGGAAAGUCCUAUGCUCUUCUUUCUACCUACCCAUUCAACCUAAUUAUUGCAGUGGUGGUUUAAAAACAAUUAUUGGCAUUAUUUUUUUAGGAAGUUUUAGGUUUAUAGCAGAAUUGAAGAUGGCAGUGGUUUUAUUUGGUUUCAGAACAGGUUCUUCCUAGACUCUUGUCAAGAUAACUUUUUGCAACCAAAGGUGUACCUUCCUAGGGAAGACUUACAAUCCAAAGGCUAUCCCCUGGCUCCUGCCCAGUAGUUCUUAAACUUUAGCAUGCAUCAAAAUCACCCAGACAGCUUGUUAAAAUACAGAUUGCUGAGCCCCACCUUUCGAAUUUCUGAGUCAGUAGGUCUGGGUUGGGGUCUAAGAUUUUGCAUUUCUAACAGUUCCCGGUGAUGCUGAUGCCGCUGUUUCGCAGACCACACUUUGAGAACCACUGCUCCAUAUAAAUCACUUGCUGGCUGACUUAGCAAGUAAAAGUACACAAAACAAAAAUGAGAUUUAACAAUG